GACGAACGCUGGCGGCGCGCCUAACACAUGCAAGUCGAACGAGCGAGCGAGAGCUUGCUUUCUCGAGCGAGUGGCGAACGGGUGAGUAACGCGUGAGGAACCUGCCUCAAAGAGGGGGACAACAGUUGGAAACGACUGCUAAUACCGCAUAAGCCCACGACCCGGCAUCGGGUAGAGGGAAAAGGAGCAAUCCGCUUUGAGAUGGCCUCGCGUCCGAUUAGCUAGUUGGUGAGGUAACGGCCCACCAAGGCGACGAUCGGUAGCCGGACUGAGAGGUUGAACGGCCACAUUGGGACUGAGACACGGCCCAGACUCCUACGGGAGGAAGCAGUGGGGAAUAUUGCACAAUGGGGGAAACCCUGAUGCAGCGACGCCGCGUGGAGGAAGAAGGUCUUCGGAUUGUAAACUCCUGUUGUUGAGGAAGAUAAUGACGGUACUCAACAAGGAAGUGACGGCUAACUACGUG
rnacentral:rRNA from 1 species